UGGUUCUGGCAUCGAUGAAGAACGCAGCGAAAUGCGAUAAGUAAUGUGAAUUGCAGAAUUCAGUGAAUCAUCGAAUCUUUGAACGCACAUUGCGCCCCUUGGUAUUCCGGGGGGCAUGCCUGUUCGAGCGUCAUUACAACCCUCAAGCAUUGCUUGGUAUUGGGCUCCGCUGUUUAUCCAGCGGGCCUUAAAAUCAGUGGCGGUGCCAUUGGGCCCUGAGCGUAGUAAAUAUCCUCGCUAUAGGGACCCUGUGGUUACUGGCCAACAACCCCCACUUUCUAAGUUUGACCUCGGAUCAGGUAGGGAUACCCGCUGA
rnacentral:misc_RNA from 1 species